rnacentral:rRNA from 1 species
UACGGAGGAUGCAAGCGUUAUCCGGAAUUAUUGGGCGUAAAGCGUCCGUAGGUGGUUGAGUAAGUCUGCUGUUAAAGCGUGGAGCUUAACUCCAUAUCGGCAGUGGAAACUACUUGACUUGAGUGCGGUAGGGGUCAGGGGAAUUCCCAGUGUAGCGGUGAAAUGCGUAGAUAUUGGGAAGAACACCGGUGGCGAAAGCGACUGACUGGGCCUGCACUGACACUGAGGGACGAAAGCGUGGGGAGCAAACAGG